UUGGGUGGUAGUGUCUUCCUGGCGCAUUUGUUAAGUGUUCAAAUGGGCCCGACUCUGCCACAUACAUUAUGCAGGAGCUGGCAAAGGCUUAGAGACAAAGAAGUCUCUCUUGAGUGUUUCCUAAUAACAGAUUGGCUCCC
rnacentral:snoRNA from 7 species